AUUAAAUGAUUUUCACCGUGAUUUUUCCAUUUUCGACUGUGAUAUUGCAUGGCUUGUGCUCAUUUAUUAUUAUGGGAUUGAUUCUCGCCCAUCUCUCGCUCAGAAUGUGCCCGAGUGUUUGUCUCACGGCUUCAAUCAUGGAUCACCAUUUUUAACUGAUAGUCUGUUGUUUUUUGGUCGUGAAUGUUGCAUGUAUUUCACGAGAGGACUGUUUUUAUACUGCCUAAUUACAAUAAUACAGUAUGUGCCACACAAACUCUGUACCACAUUUAUUGAUUCAAAAUAGCAUAUGUAAAGACAUUUUGAUUUUCAUAUAUCAUUGCAUUUCAUUAUUUUAUUUCAAUCUAAUUUUAUAUUUUUUUCUUAAGAUAUAACAAAUCAUUUUUUUCUUCCCAAUUCUUCAAAUGUUAUUGCAAAUAAAGCUAAACUUUUUCUGAUUUUCUGUGAAUCUAUUUGGUUGAAUUUAUUUGGCCAUUGAAAUAGACAUUUAGCUCGCCUAAAUUGUUUUCACUUCUGUAAAAUAGACGUACCUGUAGUUAUUUAAAUCUUGAUAGAAAAUAAUGAAAAUUCUUAUCAGCAAUUGAAGUUUUUCUCUAUGAAACUAUUUUAGACACCUAAGUUAUAUUUUUAUUGGAGGUACUGUCAUGAUUGGCAAUAAAAAAUGUUCAAAAU
rnacentral:misc_RNA from 1 species